GUAAUAUAAUUUUCAGGGAGUAAAUCAAAACCAUCAAAAUUAUUGAUGUGAUCAGAAUCAUUUACAAUAAAGUCAGCUCUUUGGCCAGUUUGAGCAUUCAGAUCUCCAAUUAAGGGCAUACGAUACAGUUUUGAUCCUGUAUUUACAUGUUCGUGAAAAUUUGCAUAUAGGCUAUUUUUUACCUGAUUAAAUCAAAAAUGUAAUAAAAAAUAUACCUUCAUGUGCUACUUUUUGAGUAAAAUGAGGUCGAAAUUUUGUAUAUUUGCUCAAAAUUCAGAUUUGUGGCCGUAAUUUCUUUUUCGAAAGAAAGACAUAACUUUUUUGUUAUAAAAG
rnacentral:lncRNA from 1 species